GGUGAGUAAUAUAUAGGUAAUAUGCCUUUUGGUUUGGAAUAACCCCGCGAAAGCGGGGCUAAUACCGGAUGAUGUCCCGACGCGGCCUCGCGUCGGGAUUAAAGCUUCGGCGCCAAAAGAUUAACCUGUAUCCCAUUAGAUAGUUGGCGAGGUAACGGCUCACCAAGUCUGCGAUGGGUAGCUGAUCUGAGAGGAUGAUCAGCCACACUGGAGCUGAGACACGGUCCAGACUCCUACGGGAGGCAGCAGUGAGGAAUAUUGCGCAAUGGAGGAAACUCUGACGCAGCGACGCCGCGUGAAGGACGAAGGCCCUCUGGGUUGUAAACUUCUGUAGAGAGGGAAGAAUUUUUCGCUUCGCGAAAUUGACGGUACCUCUAAAGUAAGGGUCGGCUAACUACGUGCCAGCAGCCGCGGUAAUACGUAGGACCCAAGCGUUGUCCGGAUUUACUGGGUGUAAAGGGAGCGCAGGCGGAUUUUCAAGUCGAUGGUGAAAUCUUGCGGCUCAACCGCAAAACAGCCGUCGAUACUGUUAAUCUUGAGUGUGGAAGAGAGUGGCGGAAUUCAUGGUGUAGCAGUGAAAUGCGUAGAUAUCAUGAAGAACACCGGUUGCGAAGGCGGCCACUUAGUCCAUUACUGACGCUCAUGCUCGAAAGCGUGGGGAUCAAACAGGAUUAGAUACCCUGGUAGUCCACGCCCUAAACGAUGAAUACUCGGUGUCGGGUCGCAAGAUUCGGCGCCUAAGCAAACGCAUUUAGUAUUCCACCUGGGAAGUACGAUCGCAAGGUU
rnacentral:rRNA from 1 species